AGUGAACGCUGGCGGUAGGCCUAACACAUGCCAGUCGAACGGCAGCACAGUAAGAGCUUGCUCUUACGGGUGGCGAGUGGCGGACGGGUGAGGAAUACAUCGGAAUCUACUUUUUCGUGGGGGAUAACGUAGGGAAACUUACGCUAAUACCGCAUACGACCUACGGGUGAAAGCAGGGGAUCUUCGGACCUUGCGCGAUUGAAUGAGCCGAUGUCGGAUUAGCUAGUUGGCGGGGUAAAGGCCCACCAAGGCGACGAUCCGUAGCUGGUCUGAGAGGAUGAUCAGCCACACUGGAACUGAGACACGGUCCAGACUCCUACGGGAGGCAGCAGUGGGGAAUAUUGGACAAUGGGCGCAAGCCUGAUCCAGCCAUACCGCGUGGGUGAAGAAGGCCUUCGGGUUGUAAAGCCCUUUUGUUGGGAAAGAAAAGCAGCAGGUUAAUACCCCGCUGUUCUGACGGUACCCAAAGAAUAAGCACCGGCUAACUUCGUA
rnacentral:rRNA from 1 species